GCCACUCAACCGGUAGGAUGGGAUGAGGGGAGGAAGAGCCCCAGAGGAAUGACAAGAGGUGAAUGGAGUCCUUUUAAACUGGAAACACCUCUGGCAGGGCCAAGAGCGUGAAUGGCGCUGCACACACCAUCAGCGCUAUGAACAAUCCCUCAUGCCUUGCUGCUUCAGUGUCAGGACCAAAGUUGGUUUGGUUUCUAGGAGACUCCGUCACCCUAAAAAACAGCCUGCAGUCCUGAAGGAUCCAUGAGUGAAUCAAGAUGACUCAAUCCUGUUAGUUUCAAGAGAAAUCCUUUCACACCCGGGAGUGGGCUGAGGAUUGCAGCCCAAAUUACAGUGGAAGAGUUGUGGUUACAUCACCAUCUUUACAGCCUCUGCUGACUCUUUGAUCUCCUCCCCAGGGGCAGCCUGGGAGGAAAGAAAACUAAGGUCUGGAGAGAAUUCUUGGGCUGAUGAAGUCCUGAUUGCCAUUCAAACCCAGA